GAUGAAGAACGUAGCGAAAUGCGAUAAGUAAUGUGAAUUGCAGAAUUCAGUGAAUCAUCGAAUCUUUGAACGCACAUUGCGCCCGCCAGUAUUCUGGCGGGCAUGCCUGUCCGAGCGUCAUUUCAACCCUCAAGCCCCCGGGCUUGGUGUUGGGGAUCGGCGUGCCCUCGCGGCGCGCCGUCCCCUAAAUCUAGUGGCGGUCUCGCUGUAGCUUCCUCUGCGUAGUAGCAACACUCGCACUGGAUCGCAGCGCGGCCACGCCGUUAAACCCCCCACUUCUGAAAGUUUGACCUCGGAUCAGGUAGGAAUACCCGCUGAACUUAAGCAUAUCAAUAAGCGGAGGA
rnacentral:misc_RNA from 1 species